rnacentral:rRNA from 1 species
UGCCAGCCGCCGCGGUAAUACGGAGGGGGCUAGCGUUGUUCGGAAUUACUGGGCGUAAAGCGCGCGUAGGCGGAUCUGCAAGUCAGGGGUGAAAUCCCGAGGCUCAACCUCGGAACUGCCUUUGAUACUGCGGAUCUCGAGUCCGAGAGAGGUGAGUGGAAUUCCUAGUGUAGAGGUGAAAUUCGUAGAUACUAGGAAGAACACCAGUGGCGAAGGCGGCUCACUGGCUCGGUACUGACGCUGAGGCGCGAAAGCGUGGGGAGCAAACAGGAUUAGAUA